rnacentral:rRNA from 1 species
AGUGAACGCUGGCGGUAGGCCUAACACAUGCAAGUCGAACGGCAGCACAGUAAGAGCUUGCUCUUACGGGUGGCGAGUGGCGGACGGGUGAGGAAUACAUCGGAAUCUACUUUUUCGUGGGGGAUAACGUAGGGAAACUUACGCUAAUACCGCAUACGACCUACGGGUGAAAGCAGGGGAUCUUCGGACCUUGCGCGAUUGAAUGAGCCGAUGUCGGACUAGCUAGUUGGCGGGGUAAAGGCCCACCAAGGCGACGAUCCGUAGCUGGUCUGAGAGGAUGAUCAGCCACACUGGAACUGAGACACGGUCCGGACUCCUACGGGAGGCAGCAGUGGGGAGUAUUGGACAAUGGGCGCAAGCCUGAUCCAGCCAUACCGCGUGGGUGAAGAAGGCCUUCGGGUUGUAAAGCCCUUUUGUUGGGAAAGAAAAGCAGCAGGUUAAUACCCCGCUGUUCUGACGGUACCCAAAGAAUAAGCACCGGCUAACUUCGUG